AAAUUUAAUUUACAGUGACACGUGGGCCCACGAACGACCAAAAGUAUCAAAAGCGGUAAACCUACAGUUUUUGAGGAUGCAAGUCCAACUGUAGCCCUCAACAAAGUGAGUUAUCUACCGACUAUCCUGAGCCUGAAAUGGGUGAAAAGAAGGGUGGUGAGAUUAUAUAAUCCCAGUGAGUAAACAAAUACCAUCUAAAAUAUCUAAAACUGAGUAAAUGGAGACAGAUAAAAUAGUUUAACAUAUUGUAAUUCAUCACCUUUCAACUCAUUUCAACCAAAUAAAAUCAAUUCAUAUAAAUUGAGUAAUCAACAUGGCUUAUGAAUUUCUUAAAACUUUGACUCGUGCCAAAUUCAUUUUCAUACUCAGUUAUCGGGGAUACCAUGGUCAAGGGCUAUCCCAAUCGAGUCUGCCAAGGUUGUUAAAAAGUUAUGUACGCAUAAAUCAUGUUUUUAUUUUGAAAACAUAGUCGUUCCUUGGCGUUAGCUGAGUUCACCCUUACGUGGUGGUUUGGUGUGAAGUGAACUCUAUAGUUUUAACCUUAGGAGUUAUCCAACCACGCCUCUCAUACUGAGGUAUGAACAUAAUAGGGUUACCGUGCCCCUCUAAUAGGCUGGUCCAUGGAACCUGUCCACUGCAGCGACCAAUAUAUAACCCACCAAUUCAAUAAAAUUCAAUAGCAUGACAUGGUAAUUAUUUUAUUUUACAGCCUCUCAAGGCAAAUUAACAGUUCAUUCAUUUUCAACACAAAUACCAAUUCAUCCAUUCAUGAAAUUAUUAUCAUAAGCUAUUCAAUUCAAACCAUGAUUUAUAACACAGCAAUUAGUCUCUAAUUACUCGAUUUUCAAAAUCAUCUUUUAAUUUCAAGACAAUUUUAUAAAAUCAUUUUUAUUUAAUCACAUUUUGCUUAUAAAACAUAAAGAUUUACCAUUUAAACUCAUUUUCCAUAAAAUCACAAAAUCAGAUAAAAACCACUUUAGAUAAUUAAGACGAUAGUAAGGUUACUCACUAUUUUAGGAGUCAAAUUUUGAGUACUCCGAUUCUUGAUCCUCGGGUACUAUUUCUUUACUUUUGCUAGAAAGCUCACCACCUAGACAUAAUGCACAAUAAGCCAUUUACUAUAUUUGUGCUAAACCAUUGUCAAACCAAUUCAGGCUUUAUACUAAUGCAUGAAAUGGGAUGUGAAAUACUCGGCUAACUAUCUAAAUACGGUGUUCAAUAUAAAUUCAAUUAUGUACCUAAAUAAAAUGGUAUUGGCCUAAUUCGAUCUAUCACCCGAUUAAUUGGCCAAUACAUCCAAUUUAACUCCAAUUAACUCCAUUUUUUCUUCCAAUCCUCCAAACCAUCAAACACAAGUCAAAUAGCAUAAAAUUUAGCAAAAUCAUCCUCACAUUUCUUCUUGAGAAUUUCGGCCAUGGUGAGUGCAUCAACACUAUGAUUUUUCCUACUUGAUUUUCUCACCAUAAUUCAUCAUUUCCUAACCAAUUCACUUGAAAUAAAAUCAAAUCCACCAUCAACACUCUACAAGGAAGAUUCGGCCAAUGAUGAACUCAUGAGGAAUAUGUGAAUUUCAAGCUUAAUUCUUACACUUAACACCAUAAACAACUAAAAACAUCCAUAUAUCUUAAAAAUCUAUCUAAAUCAUCAUCAAAUUCUCUCUUCUAGGGUUUGAUCAGUACACUAUCCUUCAUGAUAUCUUGUGAUUCAACCAUGGAAAAUGAAAUAUAAUGCAUAGGAAAGAUAGAUCACAAGCUAGAGUUAAGAAAUUUCACCUUUAAUGGCUUGAUUACUUGAAAUCCACCAAUUUUCUCUUGAAUUUUCACUCUAGGGUUUUUGUUCUUCUUUUCUUCUUUUGUUCUUGCUAUGGCCGGCCAUAAGAAUGAAUGUGGAAGAGUUCAAAUUGGCUUUAUAAAGGAAAAUAUUAAAUGGACAAAAAUUUACCAUGUGUUACCAUUCCAUUGGUCCAUGUAUCAUACUUACCCAUUAAGCAAUCUCUCUCCACCAUAUAAAUUUCCUCAAUUAUCCAUGAUAAUAUUGGGUAAAAUCCAUGUGCUGGACAAGUGUUGGGUGGUGUAAAAUUACAAUUUUGCCCUUAGGGUGGCAAAAUGACUAUUUUACCCUUAAACUUAGAAAAAUGCCAAAAUUAAAAUUUUUCACUUCUCAAACUCAAAUUAUGUUCUAAAUAGUCAAUCUUGAUCAAAAACUUCUUCCAACAUUCCAAUUUUAACCUCGGGUGGCAAAAUAACUAUUUUACCCCUAGGUUAUGAAAAUUCCAAUUUGACUCAAAAUCGGUCCUCGAACUCCGAAUCACCAUUUUAAGUCAUUUUGAGGUUUUAAAAUUCUCAAUUUCAUCUUAAAAUCUCUAUUUGGACUAGUUCGAGGCUUAAUUCAACUUAAUUGUACCAUUUGGUACAAUAUCGCCUUUUAACGAUUUCUAAGGUACCCAAGUAAGCAAACAUGCAUUCUUAUGUAGGAAUGGCAUAAUAAACAUAUUGUAGAGCUGGGCUUAAUAGCACUGCCCCUCUUAAAAUAAAAUUUUGACCUCAAAAUUUCAUUUACUGAACUCAGAGAAAAAGUGAGGGUAUUGUUUUCUCAUCCAAUGCUCGACUUCUUAUGUCCUCCCCUUUAUAGGAAAUUUCGAUUUGUUCACCUCAUUUACCUCCAAUUUAACUCAAGUACUUCACUUAUGUCUAUUAUUAUCCUUUAAAAUCAGAUCAACAGUAACCUUCACAAUUAUGAUCUCUUAUAUCGAGACACCAAACAUGCUUCUAUUACUAUCAUUAAACUUGAACCAUAACUCCAUCUCAAUCAUACCAAUUUCAAUCGCAUUUUAUACUUAUUUAGGUAUACAAAUCACUAUCUUAUUACUUCAUUCCAUAUCAAAUUUCUUGACUUUCAUUCAUUCAUCUUAUCCUCAUACACUAUUGUGUAGUUUACGGCAUCAUUAACAUGCCAUACUCAUUCCUGUACAUAUCCUUAGCGUUAAGGAAGAUUAAUGGUUUUAAUUAUUUCCACAUAUUUCAUGUUUACCUUGUAUUUAGGAAAUUCCAAUCUUCUUAAUCCUAUUAGUCCAUCUCAUAUGGCUUAAUUGCACUAUAGAUUACAUUCCCUUAACUAUUUUCCCAAAAUUCCAUAGGUUACCAUAAAUCGACUUCUGAUAAGAUUCUUGAUCGUUACAUUACCUAUACACUCAUCAAAUAUAUUGAGUUCAAAUCUCAAACCACUAAAACCAUUCUUCAUUUUAGUUGGGUACAUCACUAACUCCACACAUACGUAUACACGCACAUUCAAAUGUCCAUAUUCCUCAUUAUGUAUACAGGUCUUUGUUUUCAAAUGCCUUCAGACUAAUUUCUCUUUGUUCAUUCCCAUCCAUAACCAAGAUUCAAUAAAAUAAUCUUCAUAAUUCAUACAAAUUCUCAUCAUGCAUAUGCAUAGUUCCACAUCAUUUACAUACUUAUACUCUCUUCUUAUCAUUUCCAAUUAUAUGCUUAAGUUUCCUUAUACUAUAUAUCAUUGCAUCAGAAUGUCAUCUCCAUUGAAUUAUAAUCUAUUAUGCGUGUAUGCUUUAUAAUCCCAUUGAUACUUCAAAAAUUUUCCUUGACUUGAUCAUUGCAUGUUAUGCAAUACCAUAAUUCCUAAGAGUCAUCCUUAUUCCUCGAUUAUCUUUCAUGCCUCUUACAUAUAUUGUAUCCUUAUUGCAUUCUGAUAUUAAUUUGUCACUUAAAACUCAGACUCAUUUGAAUCAUGUAUGCCUCAAGCAUUUUCGAAUUCCAAUUUUACAUAAUAUAUUAGGAAAGUUUCAUUAUCCGACUUCAUUAUCAAGGUCAACUUCUAUCAUCCUUUGUUCCAUUCUUUCAUACGAAUAUAACAUCAUUCUUCCUAAACCAAUUUACAAAUUGUACUUAAAAUUACAAGACUUGAAACUAGAUUCUUCUCAAGUACUUUUCAAUAUUAAUACUAAUAUCACUCUCAGCUUAUAGCUUCCUUUUUAUAACCACAUAACUUAGUGUUUGCUUUCACGAAAUCCAUGGCAAAACUUCUCUUGAGUAUUUCCUUGGGGAUAUCUAUCUUAAACUUAUGUCUCACAACAUGUGAUCACUUAACCCGUAACUUAGCCAUUUAUGUGGCAUCUCCUUCAGGGCCCACUCCAAGGUAUUGUUAUGUCUAGAUCACCAUCACUUGACUUACUUGGAACCCCGCACCUAAGGGCAGUACGACAAGCCCUGCAAGACCUUCUCAUCAAGUUUCGAACCCUAGACCUUUUGUUCCCCCCCCCCCCCCAAAGGGAAUGCCUUUAACCAUUUCAACUUUAACUCAUUCAUAUCGAUACCUUCCAAAACCUUAAAACUCCAGUUAACAAAACUUAGAAUCAAGUUCAAUGACUUUAGUUCAACUAAUAAGUUCAACUUCACAUCUGUCUCAUUUUAUUCAUGCGUCCUAGACAUGAAGUGUUCUUAGCACCACAGCAUGGUGGCUGUUGGAGUUUACUUAAUCAAUGUUAUUCAUCUAUAUUUAAGGUUACUACACUAGUCAUUUUCAACCAUUUGGUUUCCCUCCAAGCUUACGUCACAAUUUCCAUAACCAUUUAUAUCCUUUUGUGCUUAUCACAUAUAAUAGGUAAAGUCAAUAUUUUCAAAUUCAUCUCAUUCUAUAACACUUGUCAACAAUUAAUAAAUCCCACUUUAGAAUACUCUUUCCAUAUUGUAUAGUAACUUCACCAUAUAGUAUCACAGCAUUAUGUUCCUCCAUUCUACUAUCAUGCAUACUCCACAGAAAUUAAUUAAAAGAUUUACGUACCUUAACUAAUGCUAAUUCCAUUUAAUCAUAUCUUAAAUACUCCAAACUUGUAAAUUACAACUCCAAGUGUAUGUCCAUAUAUUGAUAAUCUAUAUAUAUUUCAUGAUCAUGAAAACUACAACUUACAAACUAGCUUUCUAUCACAUGCACACUAUUAGAACAUUAAUUUCAACAUGUUUAAUUCUCCUUUGGUGGUACGUUAAGAUCAUUCCUGGAUACAUUUCCAUAUUAACAUUUAUAUGCCUUUACCAUAGCAUUUAGUGCAAAUUUGAUGAAGGAAUUGUCUUCAAAUAACUCUUAAAUACAAAAUUAUCAAAUUGUAUACCACUAAAUGUUAAGAUCUUGACUUUAUUCAUCAAUAACCAAUCACAUUUAUUAAGUGAAUAAUUUACUUAGUUAUUACCCCUUGCCUUUGCGAUCAUAAGAUCAAAGUUUUCCUAAACUUAGGAUGCAGAAGUUCUCUCUCUUAGAGUAUAUCCAAACAUCAACAUUUUCUAAAUUCCUUACUCUGGGGAGAUCACCUUCAAGACUGAUCAUUCGUAUCAUAGGCCACACUUUGAACUGAAUAAACUUUUAAAUUGAUCUUUCAAGUAAUUCGUAUAUCAGUCUCAAUUAUAGACUUCAUAUGGCACUUAGACUAGAUUCAACAUUUCCAAGUCAUUUAACCUCAAGCUGCCAAUUCCACAUCUAGUCCUUUAAUCCCUUGGCUCCCCCUGCUAUGCGUAGCAAAGUUCAAGCUCAUCCUUAGAGCAAAUUUGUUUACUAACUUCUUACUUCAUGACCACACAUCAAUUAUAGUAAUCAUUGAUACUCACUCUCGAGUUAAUUCACGUGCUUAUAUCCAUGAACUAUAAUAGGUCCAAUCAAUUCUUGAAAUCUCACAAUCGCUUAAUUGAAAUCAACACUAGUUCCCUCUAAGUUGCUGUACCUAUUCAACACAUAUUCACAUAUAAAAUAUUUCAAAAUCCCAACACCACUUUUAUAUAGGCAUAACAAGCUCCAUUAACAUAGUGUUCUUAUCUUUAUGCACAUAAGUAUGGGUUUACUCUUACCUCAAUGCUUAAUUUAUACACUCCAAGUGAAUUACAACCAUCACUAUUCAUUCUAAUCAAAAGUGCGCCCUUUAUUACCAUUAUCACACAUGCUCCUUUAUAUUAACCCCAAUACAAUCCAUAGUCUCCAAAUCUUUUUUCAAUUGACAACCAUGAGUUCAAUUAUAACUCCACCAAAUGAAUAAAUUAUCACGGCCUAUUAGUUUAACUCAAAAUUUCUCCAUCCUUAAUCGGAGGGAUAUAUCAUUUCAUUAAUCUUUCAUUAGGAGCAUUCGUUUUAAGAUCUGUCUAACGCUGGCUCGUGUCACAGGUGGCAUCUUAAACCCGGACAAUGACCUUACUUAUGACCUUUGCAUGACAUUAACAAGAAAGUGGAUUACUGGGAACAAGAGUUCAUAUAGCUCCCUGUCUAUGACUUAUGCUCCCAUAAGAUCUAUAAGAAGAAACAUAACGAGUCUAAACAACACCAAAUUCUAUAUGCAGAGGCACGUAUUCUAUUCUAUCAAACCUAACUUAACUUAACUUAACUUGGGCCACACUGACACUGUAGUUUUUAAAACAACUUAAAAACAACUUUAAACCCAAAACCUCUAAUCUUUAAAACCAAAAGCUCUGAUACCACUCUAAUUGUCAAGACCCGAUACUCCCCUCAAGCCUGUGACAACCGCCGCGGUGUCUCGAUCGACACUCAUUACCAAGAAUGUCAACCUGAACCCCGCAAGGCUUUAAUAUUAGUUUCUCAUUUCCCCUAUGAGUAACUGUUGCCAAAUAUCAUGUUCUAAAAGAUUUUAAGCUAUUUCCAACUUAAAUCAAUAAAAAAAAUGAUUUAUGUCUCAUAGGGGCAUUUUGGUCAUUUUUCCUUAAAAAUUUCGAAACCAGCUAAAAAUAUAGUAUGCGAGUAUAAAACACAUAUUUUAUAAUCAAAAAUAAGUUUAGAUGUCUAAAACAUUCAUUUAAAAUGAAAUUAUGACUAUUUAAAUAUAAUAAAAAUAUUCAAUAAAAUAUUCUAUUUUCUUAUAAAACAAUAUUUAUAGAGUUACCAGUAAAUAAUUUUUGUAGCGCAAAAGCUAAAUAAAUUCAUACCUACUGUAAUACAGAUAACCAAAGUAUAAAAUUUAAUUUGCAGUGACACGUGGGCCCACGAAUGAUCAAAAGUAUCAAAAGCGAUAACCUUACAGUUUUUGAGGAUGCAAGUUCAAUUGUAGCCCUCAACAAAGUGAGCUAUCUACCGACUAUCCUGAACCUGAAAUGGAUGGAAAUGAGGGUGGUGAGAUUAUAUAAUCUCAGUGAGUAAACAAAUACCUUCUAAAAUAUCUAAAGCUGAGUAAAUAAAGAUAGAUAAAAUAGUUUCACAUACUGUAAUUCAUCAUCUUUCAACUCAUUUUAACCAAAUAAAAUCAAUUCAUAUAAAUCGAGUAAUCAACAUGGCUUAUGAAUUUCUUAAAACUUUGGCUCAUGCCAAAAUCAUUCUCAUACUCAGUUAUUAGGGAUACCUUGACCGAGUGCUAUCCCAACCAAGUCCACCAAGGUUGUUAAAAAGUUAUGUACGCAUAAAUCAUGUUUUUAUUUUGAAAACAUAGCAGUUCCUUGGCGUUGGCUGAGUUCACCCUCACGUAGUGGUUUGGCAUGAAGUGAACUCUAAAGUUUUAACUUGAGGAGUUAUCCAACAGCGCCUCUCAUACUGAGGUAUGAAUAUAAUAGGGUUACCGUGCCCCUCUAAUAGCCUAGUGCACGGAACCCGUCACUACAGCGACGAAUAUAUAACCCACCAAUUCAAUAAAAUUCAACAGCAUGACAUGGCAAUUAUUUUAUUUUACAGCCUCUCAAGGCAAAUUAACAGUUCAUACAUUUUCAACAAAAAUACCAAUUCAGCCAUUCAUGCAAUUAUUGUCAUAAGCCAUUCAAUUCAAACCAUAAUUUAUAACACAACAAUUAGUCUCCAAUUACUCCAUUUUCAAAACCAUCUUUCAAUUUCAAGACAAUUUUAUAAAAUCAUUUUCAUUUAAUCACAUUUUGCUUAUAAAACAUAAAGAUUUACCAUUUAAACUCAUUUUCCAUAAAAUCACAAAAUUGGAUAAAAACCACUUUAGAUAAUUAAGACGAUACUAAGGUUACUCACUAUUUUGGGAGUCGAAUUCCGAGUACUCCAAUUCUUGAUCCUCGGGUACAAUCUCUUUACUUUUGCCAGAAAGCUCACCACCUAGACAUAAUGCACAGUAAGCCAUUUACUAUAUUUUUGCUAAACCGUUGUAAAACCAAUUCAGGCUUUGAAAUGGGAUGUGAAAUACUCGGGUAACUAUCUAAAUACGGUGUUCAAUAUAAAUUCAAUUAUGUACCUAAAUAAAAUGGUAUUGGCCUAAUUCGAUCUAUCACCCGAUUAAUUGGCCAAUAUGUCCAAUUUAACUCCAAUUAACUCUAUUUUUCUUCGAAUCCUCCAAACCAUCAAACACAAGUCAAAUAGCAUAAAAUAUAGCAAAAUCAUCCUCACAUUUCUUCUUGAGAAUUUCGGCCAUGGUGAGUGCAUCAACACUAUGAUUUUUCCUACUUGAUUUUCUCACCAUAAUUCAUCAUUUCCUAACCAAUUCACUUCAAAUAAAAUCAAAUCCACCAUCAACACUCUACAAGGAAGAUUCGGCCAAUGAUGAACUCAUGAGGAAUAUGUGAAUUUCAAGCUUAAUUCUUACACUUAACACCAUAAACAACUAAAAACAUCCAUAUAUCUUAAAAAUCUAUCUAAAUCAUCAUCAAAUUNNNNNNNNNNNNNNNNNNNNNNNNNNNNNNNNNNNNNNNNNNNNNNNNNNNNNNNNNNNNNNNNNNNNNNNNNNNNNNNNNNNNNNNNNNNNNNNNNNNNNNNNNNNNNNUCUUAAAUAUCUAUCUAAAUCAUCAUCAAAUUCUCUCUCCUAGGGUUUGAUCAGCAGACUAUCCUUCAUGAUAUCUUGUGAUUCAACCAUGGAAAAUGCAAAAUAAUGCAUAGGAAAGAUAGAUCACAAGCUAGAGUUAAGAAAUUUCACCUUUAAUGGCUUGAUUACUUGAAAUCCACCAAUUUUCUCUUGAAUUUUCACUCUAGGGUUUUUGUUCUUCUUUUCUUCCUUUGUUCUUGCUAUGGCCGGCCAUAAGAAU
rnacentral:lncRNA from 1 species